CCCAUAUAUGAAAAGAGAGAAGGUUAGCGUUCCCCUUCAUAAGGACGAAAGAGGACUUGGUAGCCUUUAUAAACACAUAUAAAGUUAAGGCAUUACCACCUACUCUGUGGCAUCUAACCAUGU
rnacentral:ncRNA from 1 species